ACAAGCAUACAACUGGCACCGCUGCUAAGCUAUUGCAAAAGCAGAAAUAUAAUAUUUUUAAAGGCAUCGCAUCCAAAGCAAACUUUUGUCUUUGCUCUUCUGUGCAUCAGGGAAAGAAAAGGACACAGCUGUGGAUGUGGGAAAAGGGCAGAUUUUGCAAGAUUAUUAAACAACAAAUGGUUAAAACGGCCAUGCCGCUCUCUUUCUCCUUCGUGGUUUUGAUAUUUUUUUGUUCAAAAAGGACAGAUGCAGACUCAGUAACUCAGCCCGAAGGCACCGUUCCCAUCCAUGAAGGAAAACCUGUGCUUCUUUAUUGCACCUAUGGUUACUCUGGGUCUCCUGUACUCUACUGGUACGAGCAGUAUCCCCAUGAAGCCCCUCGCCUGUUGCUGACACAAUAUGGAGCCUCGGACGAGGAGGAGAAGAGACGCAGGCGAGGGUUCUCUGCUAAACUGGAGAAAGACUCCAAAUCCUUCCACCUGGAGAAAAACUCCAGCGAAGUGAGCGACUCUGCUGUCUACUACUGCGCCUUGAGAGACACAGAUGAAGAUUGCGCCUAA